rnacentral:lncRNA from 1 species
AUAAUUUAUUUGAUUAAAAAAAAAGAAUUGCGUGGUAAUUGAUGCGGGAGGCGGUUUGUUUGUAUGUUGGAUUGUCUGUUUUGGGUUUUCAGACGAGGAGGGACGCAUUCGUUUCCACAAAGCAAAGACAGAACCAAGAGAAAUUAACACGUAGCCUUGAAACUGUUGGUUUCUGAUAUAGGUGGGCAGAGAACGCCGGGGGUAGACCGAAGCGGGUUGUUUGGGGUUUAGAGGGUCUCCAGCCGUUGUUGGACCACAACUCCCAUCAUCCCUAGCUAGCAGGACCAGUGAUCAGGGAUGAAGGGAGUUAUAGUCCAACUGGGUUGGCGACCCAAGUUUGGGAAACACUGCGUUAGAAACUCCCCACAGGUGGAGUGUGAUCCUCAGUUGUCACAAGCACAUACGUGGGUGGGGAGGAAAGAAAUGCAAAAGGUUGGAGUUAAAAACCAAAGGGAUGCAAUUCAACGAGAACUUAUAAGCAUGCUUACAUACACUCCGAAUUAUCACAGGCUACUUUGGUAUCCUAUUGCCAUUUACUCGCCCCGCCCCUUUUACACCCACGCACUUGAGAACUGAGGAUCGCAUGUACAGUAUACAAAAGCCAAUGCAGUGUAAUGGUUAGAGUGUCAGACGAGGACCUGAGAGACCACGGUUCAGAUGUCCACUCAGACGUGAAGCUAAUUGGGUGACCUUAAGCUAGUCACCGUCCCUCAACCUAACCUACCUCACAGGGCUGUUGUGAGGAUAAACAGGUGGAGGAGAACCAUGUAUGUCGCCUUAGACUCCUUGGAGGAAAGCUGAGAUGGAAAUGUAGCAGAUAAAUUUUAAGUAGGGAAUUGUGUUCGUCUUUGAGGUGUCACAAGACUCCUUGUUUUUUGUUGAAACAAUCUAAAAUAACUACCUCUCUGGAAACGGCUACAUUAUCCCAGGAAACCUGAUCACAACCCUCUAAAUUAGACCAGUAGAAUAAUUUUCGUAUUAGGAAGGCGGGUUUCCUGGAGAGAUCGUAGCUGCAGAAAGAUUUAGACCUUCCUUGCUAAGACGUCAGUCCUGUCAAGCUGCCAUGGCUCCCAGUCCAUGAACUCAGGGAUUGAUCGUCUUAAACAAAGAGUGUGCUGUAGAUUCACUACAGGACAAUUCUCCAAGUUGGGAGAAGAGGAGGAACCAUGACAUUUAAAUCAGGGUAAAAACUGAGUCACUCCCCCGUCCUACAACUACCUCUUUUAAUGGAAUCUUCUGAGCACCAACCCCUUAGUCUCAUAGUAUUUACUAGGCUAUCAGGGUGACUAAUUUCAAGGUGCUGAGUCUUACAGUCCUGUGGAGCUGCUGGAAAGUGGUCGUAGUCUGCAGAUUAUCUGGGGCUUUCAGAUUUAAUUCAGCCUGCCUACACACCCAACACAUACUGAAUAGAUGCCAACACCUACGCAGAAGAUAAAGGAAGGAAUAUUGUACUGUAUUUUAUUACUUUUAAGCCUGUUGUAGAUUAAUCGAGGAGGUGAGUAUGAACUGCGAAAUAAACUAGUAGCAGGUUCUUAAAAACCACGCACUGUUGUCUGCGGAACGCUCGCCCACAGUAAGCUGGAACAGACACUUCCAGGGGUGGGGAACCUGUGGUUCUCCAAAUGUUACUGGACUACAGCGUCAUUAUCCCUGACCAUUGGUCAUGCUGGUUAGGGACGAUGGGUGCUGGAGUCCAGCAGUAUCCGGAGGAUCACAGGUUCUCCACAGAAUGGUCUGUCUGGAAUAUGCAUCCAGUUAUCGUCGGUAGUCUAGCUGUGUUCCAAACGCGCUGGAGCCAUUUAGGGGGAAAGGCCGUCGGCAACUUAGGCAGGAGCCUUGCUACUCUGCUGUCUGAAAUAGGCAUCGGGCAGAAGUAGCAGAAAGACCUCCCCUUCUCCAGUUUGUUUCCAUGUAAUCCGACAUCCGAAUGAUAAACUUAUACACUGAAGAAGAAAUCGGUGCUUUACAUAUUGUAAAGCGCGCGGAAGUUUGCAGGAAGAGGGAAAAGGAACUGAAGAUAACAGGAUCCAGUCCAAACCCGCCGCUUUAAAAGAGGACCAUUGGGAUCUUCUGUGUUUGAGACAAAGAUCUGGUAUAUCUGAGGCGAAAUGAGACUGGAAAGGGUCAAUAAAUCUUGGGAUCUGGCGGCACAAGCGCCAGACACACCUUUGCACCUCCUUCUUAAGCCUGCCUCUCUGUAGAAUGCCAGGUAGGAAAGAAUGCCAGGAAUGGACCAUAGAGGAAGGGUAGGGUAGCUAUAGAUCUAUCUGGAGCAGGAAAGGGACAGAGAGAAGCUGAGGGGCUGGUGAGCAGGCAAAGCAGUUGGAAACCAAAGAAGUGGGGGACUAGUUGUAAAGAACUGCGCCCCAUUGUUCCUUCGAUCAAUUUGUGCCCAGAGCUCAGUCAAGAAACUUACUUUGAAAGAGUCCCUACUCUGAGUGAUAUGAAAUGUUGCCAAAGUGACUGGCCAAGUGCAGAGUGCUUUGACCACUUCGCCAGUGAGUUGCUCCAUACUUCCCGGAUAAAGUUCCACGGGAUGGGGUGGAGACGCAAGGUGAAGCCUUGGUGGGUCUGGAAGAAAGGGUAGAUGGAAGGAACAAGAGAAGGGCCUCCGAGCCUGAAGGACUUGAGCUCGUAGUCCUUUGAAAGCCCUGCCUGCUGGGCACUUGCCCGCGAGUCGUCCAGAGGCAACGCUAGUCACCUAUUUCCGAAGGAGAAGGCGAUGCCAAGAAGGCAACGAGGACCGCACGGUGCCUCAGUGUCAUGGUCUCCUUCACUAGUCACUGUGUCACGGUCUCCUUCACACAUAUGGCGCCCCAUAACUUAUUGACUGCGACUGACGCCCCGAUGUUACUGCUUCAUCACUAGAGCUCAGGUGGCAGGUCAUCUGACCUGAAACAAUGGCUGUCAGUGGAGCGAGUG